UCGGAUCUGUGGCCAAAGAGGUCAACAGCUAGCCCACAGUGGGCUCGGUGGAGCCCUCUAAAGGGCCACAAACCAGCCUUCCUGGAGAAGGUCACUGCCGAUGCUCAGCAGAGGGCUUCCUCUCUGACCCGAUUCCCGCGGAGACGGCCGACUAACGGAGAAAUCUAUCUCCCUCUCCUUCCUCUGAUAAACACUCUGUCAGCCCGGGGUAGCCCUACAGGUCACUGGAAGAUGGACGUCUCCAGUUGUGCGGUCAGGGACGAACCACAGGAGAGACAGGAGGAUUCCAGAGCCCCGUCGCCUGAGCAUGACGGCCAGGAGGCUUAAAGAAAAUAAAUAAAGAAACAAACAAACAAACA